rnacentral:rRNA from 1 species
UGGAAGUCGUACGAGAAUUUUUAAUUCGGUGGCGGACGGGUGAGUAACACGUAAUAAUUUACCUUUAGGAGGGGGACAACAGUUGGAAACGACUGCUAAUACCCCAUAUGCUUUAGAGUGAAAUGGUUUUUCCGCCUAAAGAGAAGCUUGCGGCUGAUUAGCUUGUUGGUAGAGUAAUAGCCUACCAAGGCGACGAUCAGUAUCUGGUUUGAGAGGACGAUCAGACACACUGGAACUGAGACACGGUCCAGACUCCUACGGGAGGCAGCAGUAGGGAAUUUUCCGCAGUGGGCGAAAGCCUGACGGAGCAAUACCGCGUGAGGGAUGACUGCCUAUGGGUUGUAAACCUCUUUUUUCAGGGAGGAAUAAAUGACGUGUACCUGAAGAAUAAGCAUCGGCUAACUCCGUGCCAGCAGCCGCGGUAAGACGGAGGAUGCAAGUGUUAUCCGGAAUCACUGGGCGUAAAGCGUUUGUAGGUGGUCAAAUAAGUCAACUGUUAAAUCUUGGGGCUCAACCUCAAAAUCGCAGUCGAAACUAUUAGACUAGAGUAUAGUAGAGGUAAAGGGAUUUCCAGUGGAGCGGUGAAAUGCGUAGAUAUUGGAAAGAACACCGAUGGCGAAGGCACUUUACUGGGCUAUUACUGACACUCAGAGACGAAAGCUAGGAUAGCAAAUG